GAUGAACGCUAGCUACAGGCUUAACACAUGCAAGUCGAGGGGUAGCAGGGUAGCAAUACCGCUGACGACCGGCGCACGGGUGAGUAACACGUAUCCAACCUUCCCAUAACUCGGGGAUAGCCUUUCGAAAGAAAGAUUAAUACCCGAUAGUACUUUUUCAAGGCAUCUUGAGAAAGUUAAAGAUUUAUUGUUUAUGGAUGGGGAUGCGUUCCAUUAGAUAGUUGGUGAGGUAACGGCUCACCAAGUCUUCGAUGGAUAGGGGUUCUGAGAGGAAGGUCCCCCACAUUGGUACUGAGACACGGGCCAAACUCCUACGGGAGGCAGCAGUGAGGAAUAUUGGUCAAUGGGCGAGAGCCUGAACCAGCCAAGUAGCGUGAAGGAUGAAGGUCCUAUGGAUUGUAAACUUCUUUUAUAGUAGAAUAAAGUGAUCCACGUGUGGAUUUUUGUAUGUAUGCUAUGAAUAAGGAUCGGCUAACUCCGUGCCAGCCGCCGCGGUAA
rnacentral:rRNA from 1 species